UGUUUCACAGCUGCAAGAAUCCCCUCCAUCUUCCCCACACCAGGGCUAAUUCUCCCCUCCCUCUCCCGCUCUCUUCUCGGGGUGUUUGACUCUCCCUCUGCCGCGCUGUCUAUGCUUUCUGCCUGUCGGAGGGGUGGGGGUGCCAUAUGGAAGCUCCGAAAAAUUUAAGCGGAUCGGAGAUAAAGCGAGAGGAAUCUUACAUUUGCGAGCUCAGAUGUCGGGAACUAUGUGGGUGGUGAACUUCCAAUUUGUCUCACCAGAAAGUCCUUCCCUCUGCCCAGUACACAUUCAUGGAUAAACCAAGCUUUUGCAUGUACGCCAAGGCAUUCAAGAGCGUUCAAGUUGAUUUAAUUUUGAUUUUGAACCAGGUGAAGCUAAAACUGCCACUUAAGGCCUUCAGUAAUAGUCCGUCUCUCUCGGUGCUCACAG